rnacentral:rRNA from 1 species
GUCUGGUGCCAGCAGCCGCGGUAAUUCCAGCUCCAAUAGCGUAUAUUAAAGUUGUUGCAGUUAAAAAGCUAGUAGUUGAAUUUCGGGAUUGGCGCAUCGGUCGUGCCUCACGGGGUAUGAACUGGUGCAGUCAAUUUCUCACCUUCUGGAGAACCGCGAUGCCAUAAUGGAUGCGCGGGAACCAGA